rnacentral:tRNA from 4 species
GCCCCUGUAGCUCAGUGGAUAGAGCACUGGCCUCCGGAGCCAGGUGCAAGGGUUCAAGUCCCUUCAGGGGCGCAA